rnacentral:lncRNA from 1 species
GCAGGUGAGCGAGCACUCCCUCUUCUCUGCUUCGUCUUCAACGGGAACAUAACGAACAAGGGUAAUUUAGUCAUUUGAGUGUAGAUAUAGAACAGGGGGUGCAAUCACUGGCGGUGCAUGUACCGGACGACCCGAAGUCAGACUCGUUCGCCGUGCGGGCUGAGAACGACUACCAGAAGCUGCCCCAACUCAUCGCCCUCCUCCACGACCUCCACCACCGCUACCUUUACCUCGCCGACCGUUACUCCCAGUCCCUCAUCCGCCGCCACCACCAUCGUGCCUCCUCCGUCCCAUCCGACCUCAAUGCGGAAGACGACCCUGACCGCCCGGACUCGACGUCCUUCGACACCGAGAGCUCUCUCUCCUUCUAGCCCUUGCCCUCCCACGCCCGUUCGCGAGAUACGUCCCCCGUCGUGGUUGUAAUUUUCUAAGAAAAAAAACUAUAGCAAAAUGGAGAAAACUGCAGCAGCAAAUUGAUUCAACAAGGAGAAAAUGACAGAAAAAUAAAAGAAAGAAAGGAAAAAAAAAUAAGAACAAUGUAGAGAGACUGUUCUCAUAGAUUCUUAUAAUGAUUACUUGGAGAAUUUAGAUGUUGUGCACAGUAACGUGAUCUUGUAUUUCAGUUACUCUCUUAUGAUUAUUGCUAGUAUUUUGGACAAUGAUAUUUGUAUAUUCAUUAUUCUUAUAGUACAUUAUUUUUAGUUUGCCCCGUGGUCUUUACACUUCACAUUGGAUGGGUUUUUCAUGUAAAUCUUGGUAUUCUAUUUGAUUAUUAUUAUAUUUAAUUCCGCUACAUAUUAUGGCCUACUAGUAUUUGUUCAUAUACAAAAGUUUACCUCUCAUUAUAUUCCAUCAACCGGUAUCAGAGCAGGGUUUUUGUGAUUUAAUUUUGUAUUUGAAAAUAGAGGUCGUAGUGUUUCUUGUAUAAUUAGCUUGAAUGAAAACAAUUGGAUGAUAUGGAAACCAAGAAUGGAAGAUAUUUUAUAUUGCAAAGAUUUGUAUAGACCUUUGUAGGGGGAUAGUGUAAAGCCCACAAUUAUGACAGAUGAUGAGUGGAAGAUGUUAGACCGAAAAACGAUCGGGUGUAUUCGAUAGUAAAAGCUUUCUUGAUUAAAAAACUUGUGAACCUAAAAUAUAAAGAGAGUGCUUCUAUUACUGAGUAUUUGAAUGAAAUCCAGAGUAUCACUAACCAGUUAUCCUUUAUGAAAAUGUCUCUUGAUGAUGAGUUACAAACAUUGUUAUUUCUCAUUUCAUUACUAAAAAGUUGGGAGACACUGGUAGUUUCCCUCAGUAAUUCUGUGCCAGAUAGUAUUGUCACUAUGAGUCAAGUAAUAAGCAGUUUGUUGAAUGAGGAGUUGAGAAGAAAAAAAUCAGCAACAUCUCAGAAUGAUUCACAAGCACUUAUUUCAAAGAACAGAGGAAUGUCAAAGUCCAAGGAUAGAAGCAAUUCAUGCAUAGGUAGAAGCAAGUCAAGAUAAAAAAAGGUAUUAUUUACUAUAAUUAUGGUGAGAAAGGAUAUUAUAAGAAUCAAUGCAAACAACCUAAGAAAGAGUAAGAAAAAGGGAAAAAAAGUGGAGUCUACAGAGUCAAAAGAUAAUAUCACAGCUAUGGUGGUGAUUAUUUGAUUUUGUCUCAUUCUAAUGAUUUUUUUUCUUAUGUAUGUCAGGAUCUCGAGUAGGUGAUUGACACAGGUGCUUCUUAUCAUACUACACAACGGAGGAAGUUUAUUGCUACCUAUAGGUCUGAAAAUUUUGGUGUUAUCAAGAUGGGCAAUUAUGGUACGAUAGACAUUAUUGACAUCGGUGAUAUCCACAUAAAGACCAACCUUGGCUGCAAGUUAGUGCUUAAGGAUGUGAGGCAUGUGGUUGACUUGAAGCCGAAUUUAAUUUCAGUUUAAGGACUAGAUAAUGAAGACUAUGAUAAUAGAUUUCAUAGAGGGCAAUGGAAGCUCGGUAAGGGUUCUCUUAUUAUGGCCAGUGGAAAGAAAUGUCAUACUUCGUACAGGGUACAAGUCAAAGCUUGUGGUAAGUAGAUGAAUGCUACAGAGAAAAACUUCAGCAUGGAGUUGUGGCAUAGGCGACUAGGACACAUGAACGAGAAAGGGCUGCAAGCUCUUUCUAAGAAAGAGGUAUUGCCAUACCUCAAAGGUACACAUUUGUACCUAUGUAUUGAUUGUUUGGCUGGUAAACAACAUAAAGUUUCAUUUGCUAGUCCUGCUUUGUCUAGAAAAAUAUAUACCUUAGAUUGUGUUUAUACAGAUGUAUGUGAUCCUUUGAGGAUAAAAACUCAUGGUGGAUCUAUUAAUAUUCCUAGCAUCAGUGGUGCACUUUUUUAUAUCAGUUUUAUAGAUGAUUUUUCUAGGAAAGCUUAGGCCUAUGCUAUGAAGACCAAAGAUCAAGUUAUUAAUGUCUUCAAAGAAUUUCAUGCCUGAGUUAAAAGUGAGACAGAAAGGUAAUUGAAAUGCAUAAGAUCAGAUAAUGGUGGUGAGUAUACAUGAUUGUUUAAUGAUUAUUGCAGGUCACAUGAUAUUCAACAUGAGAUGAUAAUUCCUGGUACAUCUCAGCAUAAUGCUAUUGUAGAGAGGAUGAACCGUACCAUCAUGGAAAAGAUCAUAUGUAUGCCUUCACAGGCCAAGCUACCUAAAAAGUUUUGAGAUGAGGCUUUGAGGACUACAGUUAAUGUGAUCAACUUAUCACCAUGUAUAGCCCUGGAUGGUGAUGUUGCAGAGCAUGUAUAGAUAGGGAAAGAUGUUUCCUAUAAGCAUUUGAGAGUGUUUGGUUAUCGUGCAUUUGCACCUGUUCUAGACAAUGAGAGGUCCAGAAUGGUAAGACUAAAGAAUGUAUUUUUUUUUGCUACUCACAUGUCCAGAAUGGUAAGACUAAAGAAUAUUUUUUUUUUUGCUACUCACAUGAUUAGUUUGGUUACAGGCUUUGAGAUCUAGAAAAGCAGAAAAUGUUUAAAAGCAUAGAUGUGAUCUUCUUUGAGGAUCAAACCUUUGAGGAUUUGAAGAAGAAGGCAUCAACCAAGACUUCUACAGAAGGAUUAGCAUAUUGUGACCCAGUUACUCAUCCAAUAUAUCAAGGUGAUAGGGAAGAUGUGUAGGAAGUUGGUGUAGAGCCUAAUGUUGAUUUACCUGUAGGAUAUGUUGAGCAAGAAGUAGGAGAACAAUUUUUCACAGAACCUCAGUUGAGAAGAUCUUCUGGACAACGUCAACCUUCCAUAAGAUACUCUAGAAGUGGUUAGUUGCUAUGUAGGAAGAGAUGAAUGCUCUUCAAAAAAACCACACUUAUAAUUUGAUGCUACAACCAAAGAAAAUGAAAGCCUUGAAAAAUAAGUGAGUUUUUAAGUUGAAGACUCAAGAAUAUUGUUCUCAACCAAAGUACAAAGUUAGAUUGGUUGUGAAAGGCUUUGGUCAAAAGAAAUAUAUUGACUUUGAAGAGAUUUUUUCUCUUGUUGUUAAAAUAUCUUUUAUUCGUGUUGCUCUUAGUAUUGCUGUUAGCCAGAACUUGGAGAUUGAAGAUUUGGAGUAAAUUUAUAUGGAGCAAUCUGAAGAUUUUAAAGUCAAAAUAAAGAGAACUUAAUUUGCAAGUUGAAGAAGAGCUUGUAUGGGUUGAAGCAAGCUCCAAGAUAGUGGUAAAGGACCACCGGGUGUGCUUGCCGGGACGGAAGAUCGAGGACCAACAGGCGCAUAUAUAUAGCAGAAGGGGGAGGCACGGGCGGAGACGGACCGCCUCCGAGGGGAGAACCAUCGGUUGAGGGAGGAAACGGAGGCGGCCGGGGCCUGGCGUGGGUGGGGUCGGAGCUGGUGGGUGCGGAUGCGGAGGUUUGACUGGGCCCCAUCUCCGUGUGCGCCGCAAGUGAACGAAGCCAAGGGAGCGAAAGUGUGCUUCUACUUAUGAGUACUGUUCGUUCUAAUACUGCCUUCGUUGUAAGUUCCUCCAUCGUUGUUUAAGUUGGUGGAAAUGUGGGCAGCGGGGUAUGACAGAGUAUGGAGUACUGAUGGCACUUCCAGUAUGCAUUGGGCUAAACAUAUGCGUGGUAUAGUGGCACCUUAGCUUGCUUUCGCUGUACAUGCAUACAACUUAAUUGAUGCAUCUGCUUACCUACUCAAAGGAUUGAUGCAUCUGCUUGAAGCUCAGAUCUUCUCUCAAGGAUCUCUGGCUUUACUAAUCAAAGUUUAUGGCAUGACAGUCUAAGCAAACCACAGAUUGGAUUGGAAAUAAUUGAUCGGGAAGGAUGACUAUUAACAGAUGAUUUGGUAAGAAUAAACUGCAAUGUUUGCUUGGGACAAACUCUCAUUUCUUUAGGACACUUGCACAGGUCAGAAGGGAGGAGGAACAGAAGCAGUGUUAGCAAAAACUGAUCUCCAUCGACCUUACAAACUCAACAAAAUCAAUGUUCCCAUCGUGGUUUUCAUCAUACAGUUCGAUCAUCCUUCCGCAUCCAAUUCCAACCCGCCCACGAAGCCGAGCGCGGUGAGCACUCUCUGCAGCUCGAGUGCAUCGAUGAAACCAUCACCCUUCUGGUCGAAGACGCGGAAGGUCUCUUUCACCUCCUCCAGACUCGGCUCCUCCUCGAACAAGCUCGAGAGCUCAUCGGAGCUGACCUCCCUGGGCGACUCAAGUAAUACUUUGAUUAGUUUCAUAUCGAAAAUAAAUAAGAUUAAAAUUAACCUAUAAAAAUAUAAUAAAUAUAUCAUUAUUAAUUUUAAUUUAAAUAUUUUGAUUAAUAUUUUAAAACAAAUAAAAUUGAUGGACCAAUUAGCGGAUUAGACCCGUCGGGUCUUGACAGCUCACCUUCACUGUUGCAGCGCAGGCCCCUGACGUCCAUGACCAUCUCCACGUCUUCCCGUCGAGCUGAGCAUCACCUCUCGACUGGCUUCUUGUAUUCCUGGCCGAUGGUUCGUCGCAUGCCAUCGACAAGCAUGUGCAGAACUCGACGCGGGAGCGGAGGAAGGAUCGGGAUGUUGGGGAGGACUAGAGGAGCAUCAUGAUAGCGUAGCUGAGUAGUGUCUGAAGGAAGAGGAAGCCGAAUGGUUCUGCAAGAGAGACCAACUUCUCCAUGACUGGGAUGAUGAGAGUGGGGGAAGUGGUAGAGAAGUUGGAUGUCUCCUUGUGCUGAGACCAAGGGGUGGAUGAAGGUGAAGUCUUAGUAGUAGGGAAGAGAGGAAGAAUGGUUGUCAUAGGAGGAAGGUGCGGAGGACAUGGUUGGUUCACUUCGUAUAAAGGGUCAUUCGUUAGGGGAGCUAACGGUAUAAAAAACUAUAUAUAUAUAUAUAUAAUUUUACUUUUAUAACUAUAAGAAUCUUAAUCUAAAUUUUAAGAUGUAAGUGUAAAAGUAAUAUAUAACGAGCCUUUAGAAGGUUUGAUUUGAUUUGCACUUUCCAAUCAAAAUGGUUUAUUUCUCCUAUGAGCCAAUCAACGGUUAACUUAAUUGGUAAAUACUUUAAUAAUAUAUUAUAAGAUCUUAGUUGUCUUUUGUGAAAUAAUAAAUAAAUUUGAUAAUGAGGUUUGAUAUUAUUUUUAUUUUUAUUUAAUCAUUUCUUUAUCGAGUGAGAUUUCAUAUCAUUAUCGUAUUUCAAGACUCUUGCCAAUAAGCCUUCAAAACAUGUUUUGAAGAUAAAUAAUAGAGAAAAUAUUAUCAAAUAAUCAUUAUUUGACGUAUGUCCUUUAUGCGACAUACAGGUUAGAAGGGGGAGACAUAACUUGCCUCACGAUUUGCUCACAUAGACGCUCGCACGAUUUGCUCACGUAGACAUCGAUUCAAGAUAAAUGGUUUAUGGGCUACCUCUAUCUUUGUCGUCUACAUAGAUAAAAUAUCAAAUUAAAAUUAUUAUAUGUGGUCAAAGGAUAUCUCCUUAAAGAAUAUUCUAUAGAAUAUAUCAUUCAUCUUAUAAAAGCUCAUUUUUAAUAUAAUAAAAAGAUUACCUUUUUACCAUUCACAAUUACAUUUAUCGAGUUACUAACUUAGACUUCAAAAAAAUUAGCCAAGAAAAUAUUUCUUAACUUCCGUCAUUAUGCAGAGACACUUUGAACUAUCUCUUUGGGAGUUCGACACUUUCAUCUCAAAGACACAUUAAACAACUUAUUAAGGAGUUUAAAAUUUUUACCUCAGAGUCAUCUCGAAUAACUCUAUAUACAUUAGUCUAAAUCAUAUUAGGUUGAUUUGGAUAUCUUUUGUUGACAACAAAUAUAUUCCAUCAGCACAUUCAUGAAAAUUUAAGAUUUUCAUAACAAAGCCUAAUCAUCAUCUUCCAACAUUAAUAUCUAAAAUCCACUCAUAAUAUGUUAUAUCGAAAAUCUAAAAAUAUAUGAAGUAUUCAUGGGAUAAAUAAUUUUAAUAAUAUUAUUUUUUGCAUAUAAGUGUUUUUAUAAUUGAAUUUCAUAUCAGAUAUUGAUUUUUAAAGUCUAAAAAUAUUUAUUAUCUCAAUAAUCUUCCCGACCUUCCAAAAAUAUUUUUAAAGUCUAAAAAUAUUUUUAAAGUCAGGAGAAGGAAGGGGAGACAUUUACCGCUAUGUUGACUCCACGAUGGAGUUUAAUUCACUGAACCCAUACAUGCAUAUAUUGAUGAUGACCUUGAUGUUACUCAAGCUUGCCCCUUCGAUGCAAGACCUAAACCUUUGGCCCUAUUCGUUUGAGACAACAUCAUGGUAUGACUCCUCAUUUGGACUCGAUGGAUCCGUCGAGCUCGAUCGAGCCUAUACUUUCGAUCCCGCACCGUCACUUACAAAGCCCCGCUUAUUCUAUAGCAGCUUGUGUGUGUCAUGUAACCUUCAUCUUCUCUUGACCUUCUCUCUUCUUGAACGCAGGAAGUAUUAUCCGCCUCUACGAUUCAUGGCCCUUCUCAUCCCCGUUGUGCUCAGAUCCACAACGCUUCCACCAUUACCUACUAAUCCUGAUCUAUGAUAUAACUGAGCCGGUAUAUGGACCGGUCUAGUCCUGUCCGAGUCAAUCUGGCCUGCUGUCAGAUAUUGCGUCUAACUUUACCUAAAUUAUUCUUUCACUAUAUUCUAAAAUUUAUUUAUUAAUAUCAUCCAUAUGUUUUAAGUUUUUCAAAAAAAAUAUAAUUGUAUUUUUUUUAAUAUUGAUAUUAUAGUCAAAUUAAUCCACCAGUUAUAUUAAUUUUUUAAUGCAAGUAAAUCAGGUUACCAGCAUGACAAAAUAAGUAAUAAAACGAGAAUGUCAUGCGAUAAAAGUAACAAAGAAUGAAUAAAUGCCUCCGCUGCUUUUUUUUUUUCCUGCACGAAAAAAUGCCGUGUGGAAUCCAAGUUGGUAAACAUUGUAAUCGCUAAAUAUUUUUUCUUCCUUAACAUAAUUCAAAUUAUCAUAAACAAUAUAUUACUUUAUUUAAAUUAUUAACUUUCUUAUUUAUGCAGUAUGUAUAAAAAAAUAAUUAAAAUUAAUUUUCUUAAUCAUAUGGAUAAGAAUUUUAUCAAUCAUGUAAACUAUUAAUUAAUUAAUUAAUUUCCUAUUGAGUGAUGUACUUUUUAGAAAGAAAUAGUUUAAAUUUUAUUUUAUUUUUGUGAACCAUAAGAAAUAAAUAUUAUAAUUCUAUUUUUUUAUGUGAAAGUAAAAUAAAAAUUAAAUUAUUAUUUACCUUUUAAGACGAAUCAUUUUCUUCUAUAUAAGAGGCUCUUCCUCACUCUUUUCUCAUCUAUUCUAGAGGAGCCAAGAUUCCCGAGUAGAGGUAUGCUUUUUUUUUUAAUAUGUUUUUAUUUAUAUUUAAAAUCUUUGAUAUUAAAAUUAUUAUAAUUUGUAUGAUGUAUAAUAAUAUUUUAAUUUUAAAAAUUUUAUUAAUAAAUAAUUAUCAUUGAAUUAUAAUAUUAGGAUGAUUAAUUAAUUUAAUAAUAGUUAUAAUUCAUUUAAUUAGACAUAUUUAUAUUUUAAAGAAUUAUAUGUGAAUUUUAUGAUUUAAUUGAAUUUAAAUUAGUUAAUUUAUUAAAAAAAAUAGAUUUUUAUUUAUAAUAUUUUAAAGUAUUUUGAAAAUAUAAAAAUCUAAUCCGACCUAAGGUAGGUAGAUCAGCUAUACCAACAUACGUGGCUAGGUACGACCCAAUUUAUGUGACUAGGCAUAACUCAGCCAAUAUAAAUAUGUAUGGUCUAGCCCAUGUGGUUAUGCAUGACCCAACCCAUAUAACCAGGUAUAAAUUAACCCAUGUGACCAGGUAUAUGACCCAACUCAUGUAGUCAUGUUUGACUCAACUUAUGCGGUCAAGCAUAAUCCAACCUAUAUGAUUAAAUAUAACCUAAAUUGUAAGCCAAGUGUUACCUAAUUCAAAAGUAAGACUUAGUUCGACUCAUGAGUGAGACUCAAUCUAGUCUAUGAAGCUAGCCUGUCGAUUGGUAUUAAACACAUCAUCAACUUUCUAUUUAGCUCAUUAUACCUUAGCCCAAUAUACUAUAAGAAAUAGAUAUUUGCAAUGCUAGUGACCUAUGUAAGGCUCAAGUCAGUCAGUUCAGUUUAAGUUAUCAAUAUGUAACAUAAUCUAAUUUUCUCUCUCUCUAUUGGUUUGAGCUCAUUAAUUAAUUGAAUUAGAUAGGCUUGAUCGGUUCAAGAUUAUUCUAUAUUAAUCUAACUAGCUUAAGUUUUGACCUAAUUAAAAUUAAUCAAAUCCAAAUUAGAUCAGUCUAGGAUGAUUCUAGACUAGUUCAAUAAGAAUGUGAGGUUAGCUUCCUUUUAAGUCCUAAUUGAAUUAAAUUGAUUAGAGAUUAUUAAGAGAUUGAUGUAUUAUGUAUCUAUAUAUGAUUUGAUGAAUUUAAAAGUUUUAUCUAAAUGUAUCAAUUAAAAAUAAUUAUUUUUUUAUUUUUAAAAAUUAAAUUAAUGAUAUCAAUGUGAUUUUUAUCAUAUGAUAUAUGUGAUUAUGCUGAGUGCUCCACAUUAGAUGUACAACUUAUGAAAGGAACCAUGAGCUCAUCAUAAUGCAAAGCCAUAAAUAGACAGUAGGUCAUACCUCAAAACCACUUAUAAUAUCUUAUUAUACUAGUUUUUAGAUGCAUGGGGGAAUGAUCAUAAGUGAUUAUGUAUCCCAAGAGUAAGUAGGAUGAUUCUCUUUAAGAAUUAAGGGGUCAUUAGACAUGACGGUUAGAUGAUUCCUCCAUCCGUUAUUAAGAGGAACGUGCCCUCACUUAAACGGGUGAGGGAUACUACCCUAUAUAUUUUUUGGAGUGCAAUAUGGGUUCUCUUCAUCCGUUAUUAAGAAUACUCCAUCUUAUAAAUAUCUCCAUCUACUAUUGGAAAAGUGCUUAGAUAUACGUCAUUAUUAUAUGACUAUUACACAUAUUAUUGUAUUAUAUAUGAUUAAUGUAUGAUUUUAUUUAUUGCAUAAGAAUUAUUAUUAUUUUUUAUAUAUGUGUUUUGAAUUGAUAUGUUAUUUUAUAUAUAUAUAUAUAUAUAUAUAUAUAUAUAUAUAUAUAUAUAUUAUGAGUAUUUAAGAUUAUUUUUAUAAGUUUUUGAAGGUUUCUAUAUUUAUUUUUAGAGUAACCACUAUUUUACAAUACACUUUUGGCUCUACUAAUUUUUUUUAAUUAAAAAUAUUUAUAUUUUAAAGAUAAAGAUAUGAAUUUAAAGAUAAAAAAUCUUCUAUAAAUUAUAAAUUAUAAAAUAAUAAUUUAUUUUUUUAUAAAUUUGAGAUGUAACAAACAUGAUAAGUUUGAUCACGUAGAAACACUUCAUUCACACAGGUAGAAGUUUACGUGAAACGAACGGGUAGUAAUCCGAUUUCAUUACUUACCAAAUCCCCAAACUAAACAGAUAUUAAGCGACACAGGUAGAAGACUUACUUGAAACGAACGGAUAAUAAUCCGAUUUCAUUACUCACCAAAUCCCUCAAACUAAACAGACAUUUAUCGAUAAUCUUCAGCUUUCGUUCAUCAUCAAAGCCAGUAGGACCAUUCAUAAUCAAUCCUUUUCUGAAAUGGACGGCCGAGAUCUAAUGCGUAGCAAUAAAUGAACGUAUGGAAGACUCCUCUCUUAUUCUGGUGAUAAGAAUUAAAGAUAAAGCUACAAUUACACUAAAAAAUCUUGAUCUCCCAAUAUAAAUACAUGUGAAGGCUCUUCAUCUGGUUUCAUCCAAGUGAUAGGAGAAAGAUGGAGAUCUCUAAGUGCUGCUUGCUGCUGUUGGUCGCCUCUUCUCUCUACUACAUUGUUUGCUCCACCACGGUUUCUCAUGAUGGACGAGCGCUCGUCAUCGAUGGCCAGCGUCGCGUCAUCUUCUCUGGCUCCAUCCACUACCCCCGUAGUACUCCCGAGGUGAUCGAUCCAUGUUCGAGUCAUAAGUAUUGGUGUUGGUUGAUUCAUGAUGUAUUGAUAGAUUGAUUUGGCUUUCUGCUGUUGUCUAGAUGUGGCCCGACUUGAUACGGAAAUCGAAGGAAGGAGGGCUUGAUGCAAUCGAGACUUAUGUUUUCUGGAAUGGACAUGAGCCCAGGAGACGUGAGGUUGUGGUUUUCCACCGCAUGCUUGUGUUUAUGUACAUAUGAGAUUGAAUAUGAUGCUUACUCUUUUGUUUUAUUGUCUUAGUACAACUUCGAAGGCAAUUAUGACCUCAUCAGGUUCCUCAAGGAAGUGCAGAAUGCUGGACUAUAUGCCAUCCUUCGGAUUGGUCCAUAUGUUUGUGCUGAGUGGAAUUAUGGGUAUGUCAUAAAGAUGAAGAUUUCAGGACACUAAUCAGUCAUGAGGGUGAUUCUGAUGGAAUUUAAUCUGUUGUUAUGUUUUCAGAGGACUUCCUGUUUGGUUGUACAAAAUUCCAGGGAUGCAAACUAGAACAGAUAACCAACCAUGGAAGGUCAUAGAAGUUGAUUUAAAUUGUGCAUAAAUUGAUUUUGUACUAAAUUGUCAUCUGAAAUCUUCUUUAACAAUGAAGGAUGAGAUGCAAAAUUUUACUACAUUGAUAGUGGACAAGGUGAAGGAAGAAAGGCUGUUGGCAACACAAGGAGGCCCUAUCAUUCUGCUUCAGGUUUUUAUUGUUCUUCUUUACUGUUUACUUACUGUGUUUAUAGUUGUUCUAGUAUAUAGUCACAGCAAAGCAUUGAUUGGAACAGAUCGAGAAUGAAUAUGGCAAUGGUGACAUCGAGAGACAAUAUGGUGAAGCUGGACCCAGAUACAUCAAUUGGUGUGCAAACAUGGCAGAGUCUUUGGUUUCAGAUGUGCCAUGGAUCAUGUGCCAGCAAUCUGAUGCUCCACAACCAAUGGUAAACUUAGCAAAUCGCACAUUGCAGGACACUGUUCUUGUCUCAUGUUGCUUAUCUCAUGAUACGCUUUGCCUAUGACGCCUUAAACAGAUCAACACCUGCAAUGGAUUCUCUGGCUGUGAUGGUUUCACCCCCAACAACGGGAACAGUCCCAAGAUCUGGACAGAGAAUUGGACUGGCUGGUAUGACGGAAUUAUCUCUUCUUUCCAUUCUUUAGCAUUAAUGAUUUACCAUGUUCAUUGAUCUCAGGUUCAAGAACUGGGGUUCUCCAGACCCACAUAGGCCAGUUGAAGAGGUGGCUUUUCAGGUUGCUCGUUUCUUCCAAAGCAAUGGGACAGUACAGAACUACUACAUGGUUAGCUUUCUUCUUGUUUCCUACCAUGAUCAUCAUCUAUUUCUUUAAAUAUAGCUUCAGCAAAUAAGAUCUUUAAUUGCUUGUCCUCAGUAUCAUGGAGGAACCAAUUUUGGUCGUACUUCAGGAGGCCCAUACAUUGUCACAAGCUAUGAUUAUGAUGCUCCUCUUGAUGAGUAUGGUAUGUCUACAUAUUCAUCAUGGUAAAAGCUUUAACAUUUCAUGUUUAUUGUAAUGAUGAUCUUAAAUUAUUUAUGUAUCUCUUUAGGUAAUAUAAGGCAACCCAAGUGGGGGCAUUUGAAGGAACUCCAUGCUUCUGUUAAGCUGAUGGAGAAGGCCCUCACCUAUGGAGAAGUUGUUGAAGAUCAUCUUGGCAAUGGAUUGACAGUAUGAAUUCUUUCAGACACGCAUUGUCUCUCUUUUGUUUAAAGAUUUCAGCUUAUAAUUGUCUUUUAUGCCAUUGUAGAUUACCAAGUUCUCUGGUGAUGGGAUUGUUCCUGGUUGUUUCCUAAGUAACCAGAACAGCACGGUUGAUGCCACCAUAAGCUUUCAGGGAACCAAGUAUUUCUUGCCUGCAUGGUCUGUCAGCAUUCUUCCGGACUGUGAGAAAGAGGUUUACAACACUGCCAAGGUAAUUAUGAACUAAUAGAUUUAACCUUUAAUUCUGAUCAUAAAUGUUGCUUUUUUUUAAUCCUUUUUGUCAUCUUCUUCUUCUUACAGGUGAAAACUCAGACUUCUAUCAUGGUGAAGAAGAAAGACAAUGCUGGUGAUCAGUCCAAAGACUUGCGUUGGUCAUGGAAGCCUGAGAGAUUGCACAACUCUGCUAAAGGUUUUGGAAGUUCCUUCACUGUUAACAAGCUGUUGGAGCAGAAAACCACCACUGUCGAUGCCAGUGACUACUUGUGGUACACCACCAAGUAAGUGAUUUCUUGAAACAAUUAAUUCAAAUAAUUGUAAUAGCAUUUAUUGAAAGAAAAUAACACUUGUUUUGUCUAAUGACUUCCAGUGUGGAAGUAAGCAAGAAGGAAUCAUUUACUCUUAGUGUCAGCACCACUGGGCACAUCCUCUAUGCCUUUGUUAAUGGCAGGCUAGUAGGUAAUAAAAAUCAAAUCCUAUUUAGUUUAGCAGAACUCCUUCUAUACUAAAAUAUAAUUUUCUUCUGCACUUGAUGAUGAUUAAUAGGUUCUGAGUAUGCCACCGGUGGUUCUUAUAACUUUAUAUUUGAGAGGAAAGUGACCUUCAAGCCUGGGAAAAAUCAAAUAUCGUUGCUUAGUGCUACUGUUGGUCUUAGGGUAUGUUGUGUCAUUUUUGUCCUUGGAGAUAAUACAUAUGCUUUGAGUACUGAUUUUUCUUCUGUCACACAGAACUAUGGUGCAUUUUAUGAUAAUACUCCAGUUGGGAUUGUUGGUGGCCCAGUCAAAUUGAUUGGGAAGAACAAUACUAUUCUGGAUCUAUCCGAAUCAAAUUGGUCUUACAAGGUUUCAUCAAAAGCUUCAAUCCUUGUUCCAUUCAUCCUUUUCUCUACUAGUUUUGUGCUAAUUAAUACAAAUCUCACAAUCAGAUUGGCUUAGAUGGAGAAGUUAGGAAGCUCCAGCUUGAUGAAAAAAGGUGGCAUUCUGGUGUCAUUCCAACCAACAGACCUUUCACUUGGUACAAGGUAGUACUCUUUGCAUAGAUAUCUUAGUGCUAAUAUACAGUAAAGGCGAAGAACUAAUGCUUCCUCUGCAUUUGUUGCUGAAGACAACAUUCCAAGCUCCACUAGGAUCGGAACCAGUCGUUGUCGACUUGCUCGGACUCGGCAAAGGAGAGGCGUGGGUGAACGGCAACAGCCUAGGUCGCUUCUGGCCAAACUUCACCGCUAAUCCCUACGGCUGCAACCAAUGCGACUACCGCGGCAAUUUCCAGCCGAACAAGUGUCAGACCGCCUGCGGAGAGGCUUCCCAACGAUGGUAUCACGUUCCCCGGUCGUUCCUGAAGCGCGGAGAGCCCAACACCCUGACGCUGUUCGAGGAGGCCGGCGGCAACCCGAACCAGGUCAACUUCCAGACCGUUACUGUUGGCACCGCGUGCACCAGCGCCAGCGAGGGAGACGUGCUGAGCUUGUCGUGCCAAGGAGGGCGCACCAUUUCGAGUGUAGACUUUGCUACCUUCGGCGAACCUGAUGGGACCUGCGGCGCUUACGGAAGCGGCGGAUGUGUCUCCGACGAGGCUGUUGCUAUCUUGAAGGAUGCUUGUCUGGGAAGGGAUUCAUGCUCGAUCCAGAUCAGUGACAAGAUUGGGACUUCUUGUGCCAAACUUGCCUCACCGAGGAAGCUCGUAGUUCAAGUUACAUGUUCAUGAUUCAAGGAAUAGGCUGGCUUAGUAGUUUCAGUAGAGAGAGGGAUUUGCUCCAAGUCUUUCUGCAUAAUGUUUUCUUUUGUUCCACUUGAACUGAUAUUAAUUAGGAAUUGAAGGAGUAAUUUAUUUUCUCUUCAUUUAUAUUUGUUUGUUUUUGUUUUUUUUUUCUCGCCUAAUAGUCAUAAAUUACAAAAUAGUUACAUUAAAUUGAGUCGGAUAAUGUUUGAUUAAAUCGAAUUGAUCGGAUCAAGUAACUAACGCUAGAACUGUAGUUCAUCUGAUCUCCGAUUGGGCUAUUUGAACCGUCCGCGAUGGUAUGGACGGUAGAGGAUGAACGGAUGCAUCAACUGUGUUACGAGCGCGGUUUCAGUCUCUAUAUAACCAAUAGCGGCAAGAGAUUACAUUCCUUCUUUGUCUUCCUCCUGUUGCUGAUACUAACGUCGCUCCCCAGGCUGCAGAGUUGAGCUUCUCCGUCGACCAGGCCGCUCUUCCUACGUAGAGGUAAGGCUUCUUCUCAGUUCAUGGUCUCCGAUUCCCGCCCCCCUUUCCAGGCAGAAAACCUUCGCAUAGCAGAAGAAAAGAGAGAGAGACAGCAAAAACCCAACAUCCUGCUCUGUUACAAUGGCUGUUGUUGGCGAUCAUUCAUUUCUCCUCCUCGAUCUAUAUCUUUAGAUCGAGAUUUAUGAAGAAAACAUAUCGGAUCAUCAAUAUUUCCAGCCAAUUAUUGCCUUUUCCACCAUGACGAGACGACUAUCCGCCGGCGGUCGUGGUCAUAGGUUCACAUGCUUCACGACCGGAAGCAGACAAUGGAAUCCUCGGGUCUCGUAAAAAGUUAUCUUUUUUGUUUCCGAUCCUCUCUUUUUCUUCUCGUCUUUUUACUGUUGCGUCACGCUCAGUUACUGGGGAAGGUCUGCCCAUGCUUUUGUUUUGUUCUAUACUGCGUCUCAGCACCCAUCAAUUCCCCUGUUUUUAGCGCGUUGGCUGGGUAUCUUGGCUCGCUUAUUGAGGCAAUGGCGGUGGCGACGACGUGCCGGUCCUCGACAUGCCCUCCUUGGCUUCAAGCGGCGCUCGCAGGUGAGCCAGCACUCCCUCUACUCUGCUUCGUCUUCAACGGGAGCAUAGUGAACAAGGGUAAUUUGGUUAUUUGAGUGUAGAUAUAGAACAGAGGGUGCACUCACUGGCGGUGAAUGUACCGGACGACCCGGAGUCGGACUCGUUCGCCGUGCGGGCUGAGAACUACUACCAGAAGCGGCCCCAACUCAUCGCCCUCCUCCACGACCUCCACCACCGCUACCUCUACCUCGCCGACCGCUAUUCCCAGUCCCUCGUCCGCCGCCACCACCGUCGUGCCUCCUCCGUCCCGUCCGACCUCGAUGCGGAAGACGACCCCGACCUCCCGGACUCGGCGUCCUCCGACGCCGAGAGCUCUCUCUCCUUCCAGCCCUUGCCCUCCCAGGCCCGUUCGCGAGAUACGUCCCCCGCCGUGGCGGGCGCCGACCUCGACAUGAUCGUGGC